CAGAUCAGAAUGCUGCGGUGAAUACGUUCCCGGGUCUUGUACACGCCGCCCGUCACACCAUGGGAGUCGGAAAUGCCCGAAGCCGGUGACCCAACCAAAAGGAGGGAGCCGUCGAAGGCAGGUCUGAUAACUGGGGUGAAGUCGUAACAAGGUACC
rnacentral:rRNA from 1 species